rnacentral:rRNA from 1 species
CAGUCGAACGGCAGCAUAGGAGCUUGCUCCUGAUGGCGAGUGGCGAACGGGUGAGUAAUAUAUCGGAACGUGCCCUAGAGUGGGGGAUAACUAGUCGAAAGACUAGCUAAUACCGCAUACGAUCUACGGAUGAAAGUGGGGGAUCGCAAGACCUCAUGCUCCUGGAGCGGCCGAUAUCUGAUUAGCUAGUUGGUGGGGUAAAAGCCUACCAAGGCGACGAUCAGUAGCUGGUCUGAGAGGACGACCAGCCACACUGGGACUGAGACACGGCCCAGACUCCUACGGGAGGCAGCAGUGGGGAAUUUUGGACAAUGGGGGCAACCCUGAUCCAGCAAUGCCGCGUGAGUGAAGAAGGCCUUCGGGUUGUAAAGCUCUUUUGUCAGGGAAGAAACGGUAGUAGCUAAUAUCUAUUACUAAUGACGGUACCUGAAGAAUAAGCACCGGCUAACUACGUGCCAGCAGCCGCGGUAAUACGUAGGGUGCAAGCGUUAAUCGGAAUUACUGGGCGUAAAGCGUGCGCAGGCGGUUGUGUAAGUCAGAUGUGAAAUCCCCGGGCUCAACCUGGGAAUUGCAUUUGAGACUGCACGGCUAGAGUGUGUCAGAGGGGGGUAGAAUUCCACGUGUAGCAGUGAAAUGCGUAGAUAUGUGGAGGAAUACCGAUGGCGAAGGCAGCCCCCUGGGAUAACACUGACGCUCAUGCACGAAAGCGUGGGGAGCAAACAGGAUUAGAU